UACGGAGGGAGCUAGCGUUGUUCGGAAUUACUGGGCGUAAAGCGCGCGUAGGCGGUUACUCAAGUCAGAGGUGAAAGCCCGGGGCUCAACCCCGGAACUGCCUUUGAAACUAGGUAACUAGAAUCUUGGAGAGGUCAGUGGAAUUCCGAGUGUAGAGGUGAAAUUCGUAGAUAUUAGGAAGAACACCAGUGGCGAAGGCGGCUCACUGGUCCGGUACUGACGCUGAGGUGCGAAAGCGUGGGGAGCAAACAGG
rnacentral:rRNA from 1 species